rnacentral:rRNA from 1 species
UACGUAGGGUGCAAGCGUUAAUCGGAAUUACUGGGCGUAAAGGGUGCGCAGGUGGUUUAUCAAGCCAGAUGUGAAAUCCCCGGGCUUAACCUGGGAAUGGCAUUUGGGACUGGUAAGCUAGAGUACGGCAGAGGGGGGUAGAAUUCCACGUGUAGCAGUGAAAUGCGUAGAGAUGUGGAGGAAUACCGAUGGCGAAGGCAGCCCCCUGGGUUGAUACUGACACUCAAGCACGAAAGCGUGGGUAGCAAACAGG